CCGCCAGUAUUCUGGCGGGCAUGCCUGUUCGAGCGUCAUUUCAACCAUCAAGCCCCCGGCUUGUGUUGGGGACCUGCGGCUGCCGCAGGCCCUGAAAAGCAGUGGCGGGCUCGCUGUCACACCGAGCGUAGUAGCAUACAUCUCGCUCUGGGCGUGCUGCGGGUUCCGGCCGUAAAACCACCUUCAUAACCCAAGGUUGACCUCGGAUCAGGUAGGAAGACCCGCUGAACUUAAGCAUAUCAAUAAGCGGAGGAAAAGAAACCAACAGGGAUUGCCCUAGUAACGGCGAGUGAAGCGGCAACAGCUCAAAUUUGAAAUCUGGCUUCGGCCCGAGUUGUAAUUUGCAGAGGAAGCUUUAGGCGCGGCACCUUCUGAGUCCCCUGGAACGGGGCGCCAUAGAGGGUGAGAGCCCCGUAUAGUUGGAUGCCUAGCCUGUGUAAAGCUCCUUCGACGAGUCGAGUAGUUUGGGAAUGCUGCUCAAAAUGGGAGGUAAAUUUCUUCUAAAGCUAAAUACCGGCCAGAGACCGAUAGCGUACAAGUAGAGUGAUCGAAAGAUGAAAAGCACUUUGAAAAGAGGGUUAAAUAGCACGUGAAAUUGUUGAAAGGGAAGCGCUUGUGACCAGACUUGCGCCGGGCAGAUCAUCCGGUGUUCUCACCGGUGCACUCUGCCCGGCUCAGGCCAGCAUCGGUUCUCGCGGGGGGGUAAAGGCAUCGGGAACGUGGCUCCUCCGGGAGUGUUAUAGCCCGUUGCGUAAUGCCCUCGCGGGGACCGA
rnacentral:rRNA from 1 species